AUUGAACGCUGGCGGCAGGCCUAACACAUGCAAGUCGAGCGGAUGACGGGAGCUUGCUCCUUGAUUCAGCGGCGGACGGGUGAGUAAUGCCUAGGAAUCUGCCUGGUAGUGGGGGACAACGUUUCGAAAGGAACGCUAAUACCGCAUACGUCCUACGGGAGAAAGCAGGGGACCUUCGGGCCUUGCGCUAUCAGAUGAGCCUAGGUCGGAUUAGCUAGUUGGUGGGGUAAUGGCUCACCAAGGCGACGAUCCGUAACUGGUCUGAGAGGAUGAUCAGUCACACUGGAACUGAGACACGGUCCAGACUCAUACGGGAGGCAGCAGUGGGGAAUGUUGGACAAGGGGCGAAAGCCUGAUCCAGCCAUGCCGCGUGUGUGAAGAAGGUCUUCGGAUUGUAAAGCACUUUAAGUUGGGAGGAAGGGCAGUAAGCUAAUACCUUGCUGUUUUGACGUUACCGACAGAAUAAGCACCGGCUAACUCUGUGCCAGCCGCCGCAGUAACAC
rnacentral:rRNA from 1 species